rnacentral:tRNA from 1 species
GUCCCCAUCGUCUAGCUAGGUCCAGGACAAUAGAUUUUCGAUCUAUCAACAGGGGUUCAAAUCCCCUUGGGGACGCCA